rnacentral:lncRNA from 1 species
CAAUAAACACUAAAUCCAACCCACUUAUCACAUAUUAUCACAAUCGGCCCAACACCAUUCAACCCAUAAUCAGUCCCAAAUAUCCAACCAAACUCGAUUAUAACCAAUCCAUUAACAUCAAAUACCCCACAGUUUCACCCGAUUUCUCGCUCACGACCACUCUCUUGCCGCUGCCGCCUCUAAUCACUAUCACGCCACCACUUCAUUAUCUAUUGUACCCAGACAUCCAGAGCACUACCGCUUCAUCGCCAUAGGCCACCACCACCAACCCAAGAUCAUACACUUCC